AUGGCCAGACAUUGACAGGACACUUUGUAUGUUUGGGUUGUCAAAAGAAGAAGAACCAGUAGUAGUCCAUUUAAACAAGAAUUUUAAAUUGUGGAGAAAAAUGAUUGCAGUUCGUUAUGGUGAACAGAGAGUGGAAAGAAAGAUCGAGGAUGUUCUACGUAAAACACAUGCAUGUAUUACCUCCAACAAUAUCUGUUUAAUUCGAUUAUUGCACAAUUGUACUCACCAGAAUAUCAGUCGAAUGAGAUACUUGAGUGAAGAUGAACCAUGAUAUGUCAGAGCAAAUUCAGAACACUCCCGCAAGCGUACACAUAAGCCUCUGACGUUGAUGCUUUCACAAAUAAAUUAGACUUUCAAAUCAAAAUUUGAGACCAGACGUGUGCAUGACAAUACAAGAAUAAAAAAAUAAAUAAUUGAAUGAAAAUAAAAGUAUUUUUUUUUUCUUCGUCUCAUAACUUUUUUUCUCCUCGGCGUGGCGUUUAUCUUUUAUUUGAUUAGGCAGCAUACCAAGCGGACGAUGGAGGACGAUGAGAAUUGCGAAAUUUGUAAACAAAAGCACAACACCAAAAAGUCACAAACAAAUAAACCAUUUUGUUGUUAUUUCUAAUAAGUUUAUUUUCAAUUUAAUUUUGAUUUCCAAUUUGUGAGACUUUUUUGAUUUUUUUGUGUCGGCGUGUGUCUGUGUCUGGGACUGUCAAAAUGCACAAUUAUUGUGUCGUUCUCUGGAUAUUGAGCAUAAUUUUUAUUGACAACGUCCUUGAUGGGCGAGACAUGGAAUUUCCGUAUAGCUGUUGCAUGUCUUCUAAAUUCGGUGCAAACAACAAAUCAGCGGCCACAAUGCAAAUUCAUUAGAACGAAGUGUGGAAAUGUGCGUCUUUUUCGGUUUUGUUCGGCAAAAAUUUGUUUGUUAUUGUCGUAAAUUGAAGGACAUAUUUUGCAUAUCCAAUUGAUCAUAUAAUCUAAUAUAGGUCAUAAUGAAUAUUUAUGAUUGUCAUCUGCAUUGAAUACCACCACUGAGGUGCAUGGUAUUAUGUCUUUGUGCAUUUGUUUGUUAAAUAAAAAAGAAGACAAGAUA